ACCGUCAAAACGGUUGAAUCGGAGCUCUCGGGAGGGUUGCGCGACAUCGACUGGCGGGGAAGGACGGACUCUCGUCGGCUCGCUCCUCCGUUUCCAAAGCCCUCGUCUUUCCUAGGCUCAGUUUGCGUGGCCUUCGGACCCCCAGCUGCCUAAAAUUCCCGGUUAUCCGUUGGGGUUGGCCUUGGUGCUGUGGCUGCGUUCAACGGUUGCCUUCAUUAGACAGAGAAGGGCAUCAUUCCUGAGAGAGUUCCCCCUCUCCCCUCAUAAAAAUGCCUUUUGGGACUCUUUAAACAAGUCGGCAGUUUUUCCCUUUGGAGAUCAGUUAGAUUUUUGCACACCCACUGGCAGGUCACCUGUCUCAACAAGACACCCUGAUUAUCAAACUGGGGGUGGUUUUACAGUUUCAGUGUGCAAGAGCCCUUGAUGUGACAUUGUCUGCUAAGUUAUAUGUUUGCCCGUUCUUGCAACAGCUGAAACCUUUGGUUCUAGCACUGCCUUCCUCAACUGGGAGCGAGACAUCUUUGUCUUCAGACACAUCCGCUUCUUUCAGCCAGAUACCUUUGGAAUAAUUUCAGAGGCUGCGAGCGUGAAUGAUGAAGGUUUUUUUUAGCACUUCUAUGGAAAGGGACAGCUAUGAGAAAGGUGCGCCAACUAGGUCUCAUUGGGUGACAAGAUCUAAGCAAGCAGACCUGGAGUCACCCAUUCUUAUUUGGCUUGAUUGGAUAGGCAUGUACCUUCAGAGAGAGGCCUUCUUGCACGAGCCAAUUCAAAACAAUUUCCAGAAGCAAAGUACAAAAUGAUGGGUAAGACUGAAUUUGUGAGAAUUAAAGAACAAAGUGGAAGCUGAGAUCUGGCGUGAUGGAAAAGAAGAGCAGUAAGUAGGAGAUAAAACCGAGGAUCACCUACCUAUGCAUGGUUGGGCCAUGAAGAUUUCCUGUGAAGAGAUUCGUGAUGUCUAAUACCCAUCUGGGACCCAGUGCUCUUUUCUCUUCUUUUGCAAUUGCUUUAAUCAAAAACAAAGCCUCUGGAAGUGAAAGCCUUUGAAGAAACAAGGCUUCGCUGUGAUCAGAAAAACACACUAGCCUGGCUUGGAGAGCCAGAAUGUUUGGAACAAGUUGAAAAGUUUUAUUUUCCCUAACCUUGUUCUGGGCAAUGUAAUUCAAUCCAGAACAUUAUGUUAAGUACAUCCAGGGCAGGGAUGGGUUCCUGCCAGUUCUAACCUCUUCUAUAGAAGAGGUUCCACAAAUCUACAAUGCCGUUUAGAACCGGUUCCUGCUCCCUCCACCUGCCCGUCCACAUAUUAUCAAGAUGAAGAACGAGAGGUGGAAUCCUGGAGUUGAAGUCCACAAGUCUUAAA